UUAUAUGUUUUUCCAUAGUGCGAAUAUGGGAUCAUUAUUUUGAAUAAUUUAAUGGCAUUAUGAAGGGUGGGUUAGAAUUUGGUUCAAGACAACUUAUUGGAAGUGGAUUGAAGCUUGAAGCUGAUGUUUGGAUCAUUGAAUCACUUAAAAAAGUUGAGAAAAAGCAACUUCCAGCUUUAGCUUUAAGAGAAGAGCUUGAGGAAUUACACAAGGAGCUUAUGCAUUCCAGGUUAGAUAUCCACUCUAUUUCAUAUGGUGUGCGUUUUUUUUACUAAAACAGAAACCUACCGGAAAGUUCGGUUUUUGGGAUACGGAAACCAAUUACUUUCUCUUCUUAAGCGAUCUAUUUUUUUCUUUAGUUUUGCUUCUCCAGUUUUUUUUGGGAUUUUUCAGCCCCCACAUGCCAAUACACACAUUAUCUUUUUUCAGACUUCCACACGAAUCAGGCUUAGGCUUGGGUCGAUUCAUCCGAACAAGCAACACCAUAAGUCAUUAUGAUACCAACUACACCCAUUGUUUUUGUAAGACGCUGCACAUGGCUACCAGUUUGUAUAGUAAAAGCAAUUAGUAUGUGAAGUGAACGUUAAGUUGAACAGUGUUGUUAAUUUUGAAGCAAAUAAUAUACCAUGAGCAAAAUGAUUGUGUUUUCAUUAUCAAAAAAUGGUCCGCUUUGUUUUCUAUUGGUUUUUUCAAGAUGGGCCGAUUUGGUUUGUUUUCAUUUUUUUUAGCUUAAAAUUUUAUAAUAUGAUGAUCUGUAAGGAAUGGUACAGCUCUUUCAAGUUAGUGUGCUAAUCAAAACAAGCUGAAAGAAUCUGGAUGCCUUUUCCAUGAGACUUCAGGUGACUUUUUUAAACCUAUUAGCGUUUCUCGCAUGAAGUAAGUUCAAUUAGUUUCUCCAAUCGUUGCAGCUCACUAAACAUGAAACUAAAUAAUGUUAAUAAUCUUUAACUAAAUUGCAGGUAUCCUGAGGAAAUCCCAUGGGUGAAGCUUAAUCCGAAUAUGUUUUUCAUAGAUAAGGACAAAGUUGUACACAUUUGAAGGUGCAAAGAAGGUAAUUUUCGGUAGCUUCAUUUGAUUCCUUUCAGUGAUGAGGAUGAAUUCCAGCAUUUAUGACAACAGCUUUCUUCCUCCAUAUGUCGAUGCAUAAAUAGAUCUCUACUCAUAUUCCAGUGAAAAUAUGUCUCAGGCAAUCUAAAUGUGAAGCUUCUAUUGUUGUUAACAAUGGUGUGCGGUACUUUGUCGGUUUACAAUCCGUUAACCUCCCCGAAAACCAAAAGCCCGAGACCAGGACGCAGAAAACCAUCCUUAAUCGAUCAAUCUCGGGUCAAAAUGUAUGAGUUUGUUUCAGGUCAAAACAUAUAUGAAGAAAUAUGGGUUCAUGAUCACAUAGUGAUGGUUUGUUUUAAAGAGUAUUAAUUUGGUUUAGGUCAUCGCAAGUCAAUUCGUCUUUUUUAUGUCAUCAGAACAUUGUGUAUAGUGUCGACUUCGAGCAUGCUCGGUGUAAUAUCAACAGAACCGCUCACGUGGAGAUUCAUUAAAGUUUGGUUGCCUGUGAA